CUCCUUUGUGUGCCCACCCAAAAUCCCAUCUCCCAGGUCUCCACAUCCCCUCUUCUCUACUGGUUGGGGACUUGAAGAAUGAUAUUUUUAGAUCUAGAAUGGAAGAUUUCAGAUCUCGUAUCGACAUGGUGUAGGGAGAGGAAGAACAAGGUGAAGACGGGUAAAGGCUACAGUUUUGCAGAAGACUGCAGAGUCUCUCUCUCUUGUGUGGUACAACUCCAGUUGUUGGAUGCUCCAAUAUUUUAAUUUCUAGGAAGAUGAUCGGGUAAUCUCUUGGGAAGGUUUGGGCUCUGAUUUGGUUCAGAUCAGAGGUGUGUAGGGGCCA
rnacentral:lncRNA from 1 species